CAUUCGCUUUGGUUUCACUACAGCAAUGCUGAUGCACAUAACAGUUACAGCAACCUUUUAAAGGAACUCAGGAAACUAAUACCAAGAAGCAACUACUGCAUUUAACUGGACAACACCUCCUACAAAAUAUACCGAACAGGUUGAUGGUUCUGUAAGCGUGUCUGCAUUUAUCCAUGUGUGUGCCUGUGCUGUAAGUAAAUCAGAUGGGAAAAAGUCAGCAAGGAGCCUCCUAAAUGACUGGGUUGGUUAAGGCUGGGCAGAGCUUUUUGAUGUCCUUCCCGCAUUGAUAACAACAUUGGAAAAAGAAAAAUCUCUCAGUUGAAAUGUGUUUAUUUGGAGAACCAAGCUCAACGCAAUCCCUGUCAAAGGUCACUCCUAACUGGUAACGUUCUGAACGUUAGUGGCAUAUGCAGACUCUCAGUACAAGAGACAGAGAUGCACGGACCAAAGAUGGUGCAAAGCAAAAAAAUGCUUUUUCUUUUCCUAGCAUAGUAUCUCAAUGAGUAUUGAGGGCUACAUCCAACCGUUAAAUGUCUGACUUGGCCUUCUGCUGGCUUGCUGGGCACGGAACACACUUGGAUAUGUCUGGAGGUGAAAUUAAGUUGCAGACUGCCAUUUAAAUCUUACUGUCAUAAGGCAGUGACACUUUUUCCAUCUGGUAUCACAAAACAAAGUGGGAUUACUCCGAAAGAGCAGUAAGCGUGAAUGCAAAUUAUGAAGGUAUGAGAACAAAGAACUGUCCAAACAGCAAACUUCUGUUGCAACAUCCCGGCUUGUGAAGAACGCUGUAAAUUCUUAUUCAGUCUCAUUCAGGCAACAGAAUACGUCACUGUGCUGAACAGAGACGGAAGAAGAGAUGACAGCUGCCAAACACUCAUCUCAGGAAAGAAGGAGGCUCUCAGCCCCCAGCCCUGCCUCCUCCUCGUGUAACCAAGAUGUGCCAAAGUGGCAGCAGCUGGUGAGAUGGGGAUGAAGUCAAAUCCGUGCAACUGCCUUUAAACCUAGACUUAAUUCAUACCGUCUGAUGAGAGCAAGAAAAAGCAAGAUGUGUUUCUUGGUAUCAGAAGUGUCUCAUUACCUUUAUCACCAAGCUCUCUAAAAAAGGUCGGUCCUGGUUUAGCUUUUGUAACACACAGCAGCGCAGCAUCCACCUCCUUUAGAGACACACACAAGAAAACCAGUUUAGAAAAAGAAGCCCUUCUGGUUGAGAAACAGAAAGAACGUAAGUGCUUUUGAAGAACGAAAGGAACAUUUUGCUUACCUUUUUUGUCAGUUUCUUGGCCGAGCUUUUACCUACAAUAAAAAAAAAUCAUCAUAAUUCAAUAACAAAGUCUGACUUCAAACUUUGAUCAGGUUCUGCGGCAUUUC